rnacentral:tRNA from 2 species
GGGCAGUUAGCUCAGUCGGCUAGAGCGCCUCGUUGACGUCGAGGAGGUCAUAGGUUCGAGUCCUAUACUGCCCA